rnacentral:rRNA from 1 species
UACAGAGGUCUCAAGCGUUGUUCGGAUUCAUUGGGCGUAAAGGGUGCGUAGGUGGCGGGGUAAGUCAGAUGUGAAAUCUCGGGGCUCAACCCCGAAACUGCAUUUGAUACUGCUUUGCUAGAGUACUGGAGAGGAGAUUGGAAUUUACGGUGUAGCAGUGAAAUGCGUAGAUAUCGUAAGGGAGACCAGUGGCGAAGGCGAAUCUCUGGACAGUUACUGACACUGAGGCACGAAGGCCAGGGGAGCAAACGGG